GCGGGAUUAGUUUAGUGGUAAAACGACAGUUUUCCAAACUGUGGUCAGGCGUUCGAUUCGCCUAUCCCGCACCA
rnacentral:tRNA from 1 species